AGGGAUAAAAGCGAAGACCGAGGCUGCUCGGUGCUGGAGCAGCUCCAGAGCCCCGCAGCCACCGCCGGAGCCCUGCUGGCGUCCCCGCAGCCCGGGGUCCCCCCGGCCGCGGCCGGAGCGGCCGCUGGGCCCGAGGAACAGGCAGCUGAAUCACAGCUUUUGCACAACUGGAGUCUUGCGGGGACAGCACGCUCUGGAGCCACACGCCGUGUGCAGGGUGAUAAAACUGUUUGAAUUUCUUUAGCAGUGGAACUCUCUGUGAUCAUAAAGUCAUCAUUUUUCUGAGGAAGAAUAAAAACCCUCCUUGCUCAAAGCUGAGCCCAGGGGUGUCCAGAGGUCACACACACACAGUGAUGCCACAUCCACCCUUCCCUUCACACUUGGUUUAAUGAAGAUCAGGCACUAGAUGUUUUCCAAGAAUUAUAUUGGUUCAAUCCCUGUAUCGUACUUUUUAUUUUUUUGAUCUCAUUCUAAAGAAUCAGAAAAGGGUUAAAAUAUACCAAAAUUACAGACAAUUAAUGUGUUUAAAUUUAACCAAAGGUUGUACAUAUUUCCAGAUGGCUCAAACCACAUUUGAAGGAGCCUGUCUGUAUAUUUUUCUGGGUUCAUUACAGCCUCCCUCAAAUGACCUUUCCCCUGUCACGUUUCAUUAAUGUGAAAACUUCAGUUCAACCAAGAAGGCGACUCAAAUAAAAUGCUGCAGGUGCCCAACACUUGCAUCUCACUACCAGGUAAAAUUCAAAAUACUCCCUAAAAUAUGUGCCAGGGAAUAAUUUAAAUCAUGUGUCUUUCUCCUCAACAGCUAAAGAAACUGAAACUGUGGAAGGCCCACUAACAGUUUACAGUUUGAUUUAAAAGAUACUCAGCACCCCACUCUCUUAAAUGAGCUCGGUGAUUCUGGGGAAAAGCUGUUGGUCAGAAAGCCCAACAAUAAAAAUAACACAAGACUCCAGACAGAUUACAGGAAUAUCUACAAUUUCCCAAAAUACACCAAUACAGAAUCAAUUUCUCCUGUAACAGAAUGAACAUGACAUCAAAUAUAUAUUUUACCCUUAAAUAGAACUUUAUUCAACCAAAUCCAAGAUUAUUCCAAAAUUAUCUCUUAACAUUGGCUUAAGAGAAUGAUUUUUGCCAUUUUUCCCCACUCAAAAUCCCUUACAUAUUGCUUAGGAAAAAAAAUCCUUUGAAAUAUUAAUUUUAAAAGCUUUUUUUUUUUUUUUCUGGAAAAACAGGGAGAAGGUGAGAAUGGCAUUUUUUUCUUGAAUAUUCCUUUUCU